rnacentral:rRNA from 1 species
AACGAACGCUGGCGGCAUGCCUAACACAUGCAAGUCGAACGAGAUCUUCGGAUCUAGUGGCGCACGGGUGCGUAACGCGUGGGAAUCUGCCCCUUGCUUCGGAAUAACAGUGAGAAAUUACUGCUAAUACCGGAUGAUGCCUUCGGACCAAAGAUUUAUCGGCAAGGGAUGAGCCCGCGUAGGAUUAGGUAGUUGGUGGGGUAAUGGCCUACCAAGCCGACGAUCCUUAGCUGGUCUGAGAGGAUGAUCAGCCACACUGGGACUGAGACACGGCCCAGACUCCUACGGGAGGCAGCAGUGGGGAAUAUUGGACAAUGGGCGAAAGCCUGAUCCAGCAAUGCCGCGUGAGUGAUGAAGGCCUUAGGGUUGUAAAGCUCUUUUACCAGGGAUGAUAAUGACAGUACCUGGAGAAUAAGCUCCGGCUAACUCCGUG